ensembl:lncRNA
GUUAUUUCUUGUCUUUUUAAUAAUAGCGAUUCUGACAGGUGUGAGGUGAUAUCUCAACAUAGUUUUGAUUUGUAUUUCCCAAAUAAUUAGUGAUGUUGAACAUCUUUUCAUGUGUUUAUUGGCCAUCUGUAUAUCUUCUUUGGAAAAAUGUCUGUUCAUAUCCUCUGCCCAUUUUUUGAUUGGGUUGUUCAUUUUUGUUGUUGUUCAGUUGUAUGAGUUCUUUAUAUGUUUUGAAAGUUAACCCCUGAUAUUGGAAAAUAUUGGAAGUAUUUUCUCCCAUUUGAUGGGUUGUUUUUUUUUUUUUUGUCUAUGGUUUCCUUGCUGUGCAGAAGCUUUUUAGUUUAAUGUAGUCCCAUUUGUUAGUUUUUUCUUUUGUUUCCCUUUCCUAAGGAGACUUGAUAUUCAAAAAGAUACUGCUAAGACUGAUGUCAAAGAGUGUACUUCCUAAAUUUUCUUCUAAGAUCACUCCAGUGUUCAGGGCCAGCAUCUUCAAAUAUCUCUCUGCUUCCUCAACACAUCACCUUCUCCUCUACGUGUGUCAGAUCUCCUACUGCAUCCUCUUACAGGGACACAUGCAGUUAGAUUUAGGACCCACUUGGUUAAUCCAGGACAGUCUCCCCAUCUCAGCACCCUUAACUUACUUGUAUUACAAAGGCCCCUUUCCCAGAUAGAGUACCAUUUACAAGUUCUGGGGAUUCGGGCCUGAUAUCUUUGGGGAACAUUUUCCAGUCUCCCACAGAUUUGGAAACAGCAUGCCUAUGAUAUUGGCUCAUUGAAACUGUUACUGACCAAUGGGGAAGUUCGAAUAUUAGGAUGGAUAAACUAACAUAACAGAAUAAAAUUUGACCUUCUAUGGACAUUGACUUCCCAGACCUUGGCUUACCCACUUGUACCUCCGAACUUAAGGACUUGUCGUAUAAUCAGAGAUUACCUUAUAAUCGGAGAUUGCCUUACAUAUUUCUAUUUUCUGUAGCCCAGUGUUUUAAAAUUGCAGGCUAUGAAUCAUUAGUUUGUUUCGAAAUCAGUUUAGUGGGUUGUGACCAGCGUUAAAAGAUGUUAGAGGGCCAGCCCUGCUGGCCUAGUGGUUGAGUUUGGCAUGCUCUGCUUUGGCGGCCCAGGUUCUCUUCCCAGGCGCAGACAUACACCACUUGUCAGUGACCAUGCUGUGGCGGCAGUGGUUCACAUACAGAAAGUGUAAGAUUGGCAACAGGUGUUAGCUCUGGGUGAAUCUUCCUCACCAAAAAAAAAAAAAAAGAAAGAAAAAAGGAAAUAUCAGAGUACAUCACAUGUAGUGAGGGUAAUUAUUGUUUCAUGAAACAAUAUGUGUGUGUAUGUGUGUAUUGGACCAUAAUGUAAAAUAAUACUUCUUGCUCUGGGUUGUGGUAAAAUGGAAAGCCUCUGCUGUAAGCAAUUUUGUUAUUCAUCAUACUCUAUGGCAACUAUUCCUUGCCAUUAGACAGAGCAAGAAUUGAAGCUCACAGCAACUUCAACUUCUUAUUGUGUGGCACUGUCCAAGGGGCAGCUCUCCUCAAUACUUAUCCAUAGGAGGUGUCAUUAUCUGGAAAGGAAAGCAACUUCAACAGCUGAAAUAGUAGAGGCAUAGAGUUGGAGUGCAUUUAAUGGCAACCUUGGUAUUGGGAACUCUAGUAAAAUGUUACUUCUAGUAAAAUAGAAGUGGUGUUAAUGGGAGUCCUGUCUUUUACCUCAUCUCAUGGAGGAAGUUUCCAACUUUUUGCUGUUAAGUAUAAUGCUUGCUUAG